AGUGAACGCUGGCGGUAGGCCUAACACAUGCAAGUCGAACGGCAGCACAGUACGAGCUUGCUCUUACGGGUGGCGAGUGGCGGACGGGUGAGGAAUACAUCGGAAUCUACUUUUUCGUGGGGGAUAACGUAGGGAAACUUACGCUAAUACCGCAUACGACCUACGGGUGAAAGCAGGGGAUCUUCGGCCCUUGCGCGAUUGAAUGAGCCGAUGUCGGAUUAGCUAGUUGGCGGGGUAAAGGCCCACCAGGGCGACGAUCCGUAGCUGGUCUGAGAGGAUGAUCGGCGACCUGAGAGGUGAACCGCGCACCAGGCGCCUGCGGGAGGGAGCAGUGGGGAAUGGUAGACAAUGGUCGGAAGUAUGGUCCAACCGGAGCGCGUGUGAGAAAGCGACCUUGUGGUGGGGAUGCCGGUCUGUGGGUAGAAAAACGCUGUCGGCUGAGACCCAGCGGUACUGACGGUACCUGAAGAAGAAGCACCGGCUAACUACGUG
rnacentral:rRNA from 1 species